rnacentral:rRNA from 1 species
UACAGAGGGUGCGAGCGUUAACCGGAAUUACUGGGCGUAAAGCGUGCGUAGACGGUUAUUUAAGUCGGAUGUGAAAGCCCCGGGCUCAACCUGGGAAUUGCAUUCGAGACUGAAUAGCUAGGGUGCGGUAGAGGGAAGCGGAAUUUCCGGUGUAGCGGUGAAAUGCGUAGAUAUCGGAAGGAACAUCAGUGGCGAAAGCGGCUUCCUGGACCAGCACCGACGUCAGGCACGAAAGCGUGGGGAGCAAACAGG